UUUUAGUGACCCUUUCUGGUAUUAACGUCACUAGCAAAAGUGUGGAAUUUUCUGGCCAUUCUGAUGACGGCCAGUGAGUGGAAUGAGGUGGGGGAGUGAGAGGAGAGAGUAGGAGCAGAGAUGGGAAGCCUGGCCAGUGGAGGCAUCCCAGGCCUGCUCUGAGGAGGUGCCAUAGCCCUGAGAGACCGAGGUCAGUGACCUAACACAGCAGACAGCUGAGCUCACAGAUGUUUGUCCAGGUACGAGCACUGCAGCCACUGCAGCAAAGGGUCUCAGGUCCCAGGUGCUGUCUCACUCCUUCACUACCUGGCUCUGAGGACGAUGGUACUGGCCCCCUGUCACAAGUGAGGAUGCCCUGCUGAGACUUACGAGAUUGCUGCUUGAAGGAGGUCGCAGAGUGCCAAGAGUCCAAGGAGGCCUGAUUCCAAACCUCCAGAUCUUUCCCUUGCCCUGGGAGAACGGCCACAAGCAGGCCCAGAGAGGAAACUGAGGCACAGACUAGCAGAGCGACUCAGUUAAACGUUCACCAUGUAAAUGAUACAAUGGAGGACAGCCGCUGUGUUACAAUAUCUUGGAGUUUCACUAUUAUCUAAGUCAAAAACGACAUCCAGCCGUGAGCUGUGGUGUAGGUCGCAGAUACAGCUCGGAUCUGGUGUUGCUGUGGCUGUGGUAUAGACCAGAAGCUACAGCUCCGAUUCAGCCCCUAGCCUGGGAACCUCCAUAUGCCGAGGGCGUAACCCUAGAAGACAAGAAAUGAAAAUAAAACUGAAAAAAAGACAUCCAGGGACCUUCGAUUUCUCAUGAAAAGAGCUGUGUAUCAAGAAAGCAUCAGGCCAGUGGGAAUGGGAAGGAUUUAGCUAUACUUUCUGUCUCAUAAUGUGCUAAUCUUAUUAUCUCAUAGUAGCUAUUAUCUGAGUCCUAUGAAUAAUGUCAUUCCAGUGUUUCUGGAGAAUAGGAGUGGAGCUCCAGGCCCUUAAAAACAAUCCUGGGCAGAGUCUGAGUAAUCUAGUACAUCUGAAUCACAAGAAAGAGGCAAGUCUCGAUUUGGAAUCAGAAAAGAAAUGAUGCAAAGCUUUCUAAGCCCUGGAAGGGAGGGAAGCCCGGGCAGACCCAGGAUCUGACUGCAAGGGGUUGGCUGCUUCUCUCCUGCCUAUUCCACCACCAGCCGCCCCCGCUUCCCCAGCGCCCGCUGUGGCCUGCCCUCCUGGGCCCACCCUCCGCUCAAAUCCUGCCCUUGUGAUUGACAGGCCUCCGCGACCCGGAGGAGGAACCUCAAGGAGGAACCGGACCCCUCCUCGCAGAGCUGCUACCGCCACACAGAAGGGGCCCAUUCUGCUUACAGGCCAUUCCUGCCACCAGUUUCCCUCCGCCCGACCUCCAUUGCCUGGGUGCUCAAUCCUCCGAAACUCUAUGCCGUCCCCUUUUUAGUCCUGCCUCCCAACGUUCUGAAAAGAUGAAGAAGGCAUCCUUGUCACCUCGAGGUUGGUGACCCCGGUAGAUCAAAUGGCAAGCAUGAGUGUCAGGGGUGAUUUGAGAAGAAAGAUGGAAGUUUGCAAAAUGAGAUUUUAUAGAUGGAAUCUCACCAUAAGAAAUUUGAGAGUUCAUAACUAUUCUGAAAAUAGUUGUUAUCUGCAUUAAGACAACUGUAUAAAUAAAGGAAUCAGUGAUGCAGCCGGUUGGAGAGUUGUUUUAAGAAACCUGUCACUAAAAAUGCAGUAUAAUCCAACGGUGCCUCGCCUGCCGUUUUGCCAAGGCAAACUCAGCUGGGAGGCUGCGGGGUUUCUCCACUGCGUGGAGUCAUUAGGGGGAUAAACCAUCAGCCUGGUCUAAUUAGCAUUGAAACACUUCGCAAAUAUUUGACUUAAGGGGUUGCAAAUAGUAAAAUAAUGUGGAGCUGAUGUCUGCAAUACCUUUCGAACUCGCCUCCUAACUAUAGUCACAUGUGUUUUACACAUCAGAGGUGUUCCUGAAAAGUCAGGUGUGAAUCCAUAUGCGACACGGAAUUAUGUUUCAGACAUUCUAGGGAUACUUCUUUUCUUUUCUUUUUUUUUUUUUAGCUUUUUGGCUUUUUGGCUUUUAGGACUGUG